GGGGAUAUAGGAUAAUGGUAAUCUAUUGAAGUUGCAUUUCAAGGAUCAAAGUUCGAUUCUUUGUAUCUCCA
rnacentral:tRNA from 2 species